UUUUUUCAUUCACUGAUGGAAGUCUGAACCAAAAUCUACAUGCAUUGGUGGAAUGGAAAUGUGACCUCCACUUUCGUAAGUCCGAGCGGGCUUACAAUAGACCGCUAAUCAGCUCAUGUCAUGACAAUUUGUUAGAGGUUACUUAACCGCACUUUGGUCCAGCCUAAUAUAUAUACAAGCAAAACACAAGAAGUGGGCUUUUGCAAGAUAAGAGUAGGGGGUGGAUGAAUGCAAG
rnacentral:lncRNA from 7 species